CUCCCUCCGCUCCCUCCGUCUCUCCCCUUGUGCUUUUUCCUUAAUUUUCUUUUAUUUUCCCUUUCCCCCAACCCCCACCUAUUUAUUCUCCAUUUUGUUUUGUUUUGGCGUUUCUUCCUGGUUUGGUGUGGUUUGUUUUUCUUCUCUUUUUUUUUUUUUUUUUUUUUUUUUUUUCCAUUCUUCCCUUCUCUCCCCUUCCCCGGACGAACACGAAAUUCCCGGUGGCCGCGGAGGCGGAGGGGAGCGGUGCGGAGCUCGCAGCCCCCAGCCCCACACCGGGCACUUCUCCCCCUCCCGGGAUUCAGAGCCCUCCAGGAACUGGAAAAUCCAGAUUUGCAGCAUCUCCCAGGGAAAGACGAUUUCCUACGUGCCCCCCCCAGCGUGAGGGUCCUGCUGAAGGUUAAACUCGAUUCCCUCAAUAAAUUGAUGCACUUGAAGAAGAGGAGAAGCCCAUUUUACCUUACCUGGGGCAUGAGAAGAGAAAGAGAGGAGACAAGAACCUUUUUAAAAGAAACUUAAUAUUUUCCCUAUCUGAGGCAAGUGAUGCCGCAGUGGAAUUGGGGGCUGUUGUUGGGUUCAUUUAGGAAUCCAUUGUUGUCCAUGUGAAUUCUUUUUUACAUUUCAAAUAACAGGAUUAUUUCCCCAGGGGGUAAUAUCCUGUAAUUUGAACACAAUAAUGGGAAUAAAUUACUUACUUAGAACUAAUAACGACAGCCUGAUUCCAAUAUA